rnacentral:rRNA from 1 species
CGUGUAGGCGGUUAGGCAAGUCAGAUGUGAAAUCCCUUGGCUCAACCAAGGAAGUGCAUUUGAAACUGCUUAACUAGAGUACAGGAGGGGAAAGUGGAAUUCCCAGUGUAGAGGUGAAAUUCAUAGAUAUUGGGAGGAACACCGGUAGCGAAGGCGGCUUUCUGGCCUGAUACUGACGCUAGACGCGAAAGCGUGGGGAGCAAACA